rfam:Coccidioides immitis H538.4 cont1.4342 mitochondrial, whole genome shotgun sequence.
GAAGAUCUCGUUUGUUGGUUUACGAGUUGAGCUGUAAACUCAAUGACUAAUUGUCAUCGUAGGUUCGAUUCCUUCUCUUC